GGGAAAAGGGGGUUUCAUAUUUCUUUUUAUCGCGGCUGCGCAGUGCAUCCUUAGGAGGAACGACAGUUGGAAAUUGAAGCCACUAAAUGUUCUUGAUUGCCCAUUGACUGAGGUUCAUGCGAUUGAAGUGGUGGAGUUGAGUAUUUAAGAUUAGUUUGGGAAAUAUUAGUUUAGCUGUUUGAGAUUCUGAAGAGUAGAGCUGCGCGGGAUUUUUUACAUGUGGGAGUGCCGAGAGUAGGAC